UGGGGAAUCUUGCACAAUGGGGGAAACCCUGAUGCAGCGACGCCGCGUGAGCGAUGAAGGUUUUCGAAUCGUAAAGCUCUGUCCUAUGGGAAGAUAAUGACGGUACCAUGGGAGGAAGCCCCGGCUAACUACGUGCCAGCAGCCGCGGUAAUACGUAGGGGGCGAGCGUUGUCCGGAAUUACUGGGCGUAAAGGGUUCGCAGGCGGCAUGGCAAGUCCGAUGUAAAAGGCGAAGGCUCAACCUUCGUAAGCAUCGGAAACUGUCAAGCUUGGGUGAAGGAGAGGGAAGUGGAAUUCCUAGUGUAGCGGUGGAAUGCGUAGAUAUUAGGAGGAAUACCGGUUGCGAAGGCGACUUGCUGGACUUCAACUGACGCUGAGGAACGAAAGCGUGGGUAGCAAACAGG
rnacentral:rRNA from 1 species